GCCCGGAUGGUCUAGUGGUAUGAUUCGCGCUUCGGGGUAGUUAUAAGUCUGACUUAUACAUGCAAACCAGAAUAUGCGCGAGGUCCCGCGUUCGAAUCGCGGUUCGGGCC